rnacentral:misc_RNA from 1 species
GAUGAAGAACGUAGCGAAAUGCGAUAAUUAAUGUGAAUUGCAGAAUUUAGUGAAUCAUCGAAUCUUUGAACGCACAUUGCGCCCCUUGGUAUUCCAUGGGGCAUGCCUGUUCGAGCGUCAUUUGUACCUUCAAGCUCUGCUUGGUGUUGGGUGUUUGUCUCGCCUCUGCGUGUAGACUCGCCUCAAAACAAUUGGCAGCCGGCGUAUUGAUUUCGGAGCGCAGUACAUCUCGCGCUUUGCACUCAUAACGACGACGUCCAAAAGUACAUUUUUACACUCUUGACCUCGGAUCAGGUAGGGAUACCCGCUGAACUUAAGCAUAUCAAUAAGCGGAGGA